CGGCGGGUCAACGCGUUGAAUGCCACGGUGGUCACCGGUGACCUCCAACCAAAUUGAGUUGUUGUAGUUCACUCAAUGAAAUAAUGAUUAUUCGAAAACAUUUCUAUAUCAUAAAUACUGCUGUCUAAUGCACUGUGGCAGAGCUAGAUGAACGUGCAAUAAUAAUAAUAUUAGAUUUUUUCCAUUUUGUGCAUUUUGCUCUACGAAAUCUCUUUGCACUCGAAAUAUUUAGUAUUCAGAAAUAUUCAGUAUUAAUUAAUGAGAAAACAUAUAAAUUAAAGAGAAAAGUUAUUUUAUUUCAAUAUUCCAUAUAUCAAUGCAUCAUACAAAGCUUGAUAUCAUAUAUAAGACUGUAUAAUUUGCAAAUCAAAUCGAGUGGUGACAGAGUCACCACUCCAGUGCAAAGGGUUAAUGACGCGCAAAUCAGUGUGAAUCACUUCUCGGAGUUUUAAGAAUUGUAUUAUUCAAAAUGAUGAGUAAGUUGGAUGCAAGCUGUGGGAUGAAAAUAAGCAUCGUUUAAAAAAAGUAUGGAUAUUUAAAAGAAGUCCUUUGGACGUCAACACUCGUGCUCUAGCCAAGACCAACCCCAUUUUAUUUUAUUUGUCUCAUGGGAUUCACUGAUUUCGAAUUUUUCUUUUAACACAAAUAUAGUUAUUUAAGCGAAUUUUUGUUUUCAGUCUGUUGCCAAUUUGUUUAUCAAGAUACGACUUUCCACUUAGGGGUGAGUGGUGAAAGUUUUUCUCGACGCGACGCUACGUCGAUUUAUCUAAUUAUGUUAACAGUUCAGACGGCGCUCUAUUUAUCAAUGGAACAAGUUCGCAGUUUCGAGAUAAAUUGGAGGUCACCGAACCGAUGCGACCGGCAGGAUAAACUGAUGACUGUCGUUGAAAAACGCCAACAAUAUUCACGCGUCUGCUUUCCUAAAAAAUUCCACUACGAACCCACAAAAACUUCAACAAUAAAAUUCAGCAAGACAGACGUGCACACAAAUAUCAGUUCGUCGAACCACGCUGCAUUUGUAUUUCUAACCACCGUCGAGGAAAAAACCCACCCCGACAGCAACAAUUCUAUCGAUCGAAGUGUAAAUGAAAAUGAAAAUGAAAAUGAGGGAUUGAAUGGUGAAUCGUUCCCGUGACACGAAAGAGGGAAAGUGCAGCAACAGAUGAGGCGGCCGUAGAGGAGCAGUGCGUCGAAAUGAACUUACCCAUAGGACGUUGAAGCAGAUCAGCGAGCACCUGAUACAACCAUAAUAUUUCGGGAGCACCAUUUUCGUUCUUGCGACACUGGACACUCGGGUUAGGUUGCUGGUUAGAGAGAAGACACGGGAGGCCAGCGAGCUCACGGGGACCGUUUACAUUCGUCCCGACGCCGAUGCACGACUGAGGGGGAAAGUUUUCAUUGGCGCUGCAGUUAUUCAAUCUCGUGGCCGUGCACGCACAGGAGGCGGACACGCCGAUCCAUUCCACUCGGUAUUUUCCGAACUACUGUCACGGUACGCGGCCGACCGCCGUCGCUUUUAAUCGCCGGUGCAAAGUACGACCAACGGAUUGCCACUGUCGUUUCAACCUUCCUGAAUCUGCAGCUCGUCGCAUCGUCCGAGCAUCCCCUAUCUCUGUCCAUCCGUCGGUACGCCCGUUUCCUUUACACCCACCUUCAAUCGCGUCUGUCUCUGUCUGUCUCUGUCUUUCUCUGUCUGUCGCUUACUGUCUUUGUUUAGUCUCUGUCUUGCUUGUUUCGCACGUUUUUCUUCAGUCAUCGUUGAGGAUGGGUUUAACACAUUGCUUGCGUUGAAUUUGAUGGCAAUUUUCACUGAGGUCAACUUAUGUCACUGUACAUAGAAAAACGCAGAUAUAUUGUUGUGUAAUAUGUUUUAGAUUGUAUAUUUUAAAUAUGUAAUAUGUUUUAAAUGGGUGAUCGAUUCGAGUUAAAUUUUAUAUUUUUUCAAUGCUGUGAUUAGCGAAGUUGCAUGGCUAAGUGUCUUUAUAGAAACGCGAUUUCUCGUUACCGGUACGCAGUGUGUUAAAUGGCACAGUACUUGGGAGAAUAGUUAAGUCUAAUGCGUGUAAUUGUUAGUCAGGAAGCUGGCAAGGUCGAGAUAACGCUCCUGCGUUGAGAUAUUCCAUGGAAUUUGUUAGAGUUGUAGUGUACAAGGUCUGUGGGAAAGUGAGGAUGUAGAAUUAAAUGGGUUUAGUGUGUAAUUGUGUUAAGUAUUGUAUGCUUAAUUGUAUUCUGUGGGAGUUGUAAUUGAUUUUGUAUUAGUUUAUGGAAUGGAUGAUUGGAAAUGUACGCUCUGUAGUGUAUCGAAGGUUUUGCAUUUAGAAUAAAGUUGUGCUUUGUAGUGGAAUUUAGCGAGAAUCAUUUUUUCAUGAUAUCUAUUCUUGAAACCAGUGGCGCCAUUCGCGAAGAUUGUAUGUAACAGAUGUACCACUGAGAUACCGACACUGUCAAAGUAACACUACUGUGCUAUCAGAAUGGAGUAUGUAUUGCAAAUGUAUAUUUGUUAUAAUAAAUGCUGGAAUGAUUAUUUAAUUACUAUGAUUUAAACUUUAGCCGGCAUAAGAAAUGAAAUUAUGAAAUUGAUAGAUUAUGUUGAAUGUUAUGAUUGUUUAUAAUAAAUUACU